ncrna:unclassified sequences type-P1 twister ribozyme
UCUGUAAUGCAGCCUUAAGACGGUUACAAGCCCGUGUAAAUGCAGAGUACAGA